UACGUAGGGCGCAAGCGUUGUCCGGAAUUAUUGGGCGUAAAGAGCUCGUAGGCGGUCUGUCGCGUCGGCUGUGAAAACCCGAGGCUCAACCUCGGGCCUGCAGUCGAUACGGGCAGACUAGAGUGCUGUAGGGGAGACUGGAAUUCCUGGUGUAGCGGUGAAAUGCGCAGAUAUCAGGAGGAACACCGGUGGCGAAGGCGGGUCUCUGGGCCGAUACUGACGCUGAGGAGCGAAAGCGUGGGGAGCGAACAGG
rnacentral:rRNA from 1 species